GGAAGAGUGUCCCGAAUUGGUUAAGGGGCAGGUUUGCUAAACCUGUGUCCGUAAGGAUAUCCGAGUUCGAGUCUCGGCUCUUCCGCCA
rnacentral:tRNA from 1 species